rnacentral:lncRNA from 1 species
CCUCUCCGUUCUUCCUAGUUCUCAAGAGUGUCUGUGAGAUCUGUGAGAGAACAACCUCAGCCAUCAAAGAGGAGUCUUCUGCAAGAGAGCUAGCACUCCAGUGAAGACACCUACCUCUGAUUGAAACGAGCCUCAUGUGGAUAUUUAUAGAGGUCGGGUGCAUGUGCGGCUAAAGGAACCCAUCAAAAUCCAUGAUCAUCGACUGUGGUAUAGAUCGACUCA